UAUAGGAUUAUAGUUUUUCCUAGGCUUGCGACCUAUCUAGUCUCAGGUGUUUGGCAUCCUUAGCAGUAUCAGAUAUGGGUUGCAUUUCAUGGAGUGGGCCUUAAAUCCAAUUUUAAAAAAUGCUUGAUUAAUCAGUAAAAUGUUCUACAACUUCACCAUUAUAUCUUACAAGCAGGUUACUAUUGUAGGUAGCAGAAUUUCUCUUCUAGUAUCAUACAGAGUAACUUCUAGCACCAUAAAUACUAGUCAGAAGGGGUAAAGUUUCUAGUUGGGCUCAGUUUCUCCAUGUUUAAUGAUACAACUAAAUAGCAUUUAAUGACACAAGUAAGUGGUGUCUUCAGCUAUAGGGCCUUAGCAUCAGGUUAUGUAGAGUAAGCAAUAGCUUUGGGAAUAUCCUGUGAUGUUUGAGCUUUGGUCAAAGACUCAAUAAGGUAUAACUCAUUCCUGGCACUAGAUGUUUUGCUUGGCGGCAUAAAACUUCUUGUUGGGGCAUUCUCUCUCCCAUUUUAUGGUAAUUCUAUUUAAAUUCCUUUCAUAUAAGUAUAUAUUUUAGGAAGCUUCUACAGUUGUAGAUUUCCAUGUGAUUUUUCAGAUAGUGUUAGUUGUCCAUAUUCAUAUUCUGAUUUUCCAUCCUCCUCCCCACUUAAUCCUAUUCUAGUUUCUUCUUUAUCCCUUGACAGCAUUAUAUUCUAUUUCUCCUUCCUUGGAAGAUCCCCUCUUUUCCUGGCCCCUUACUAGGUAGUUAUCCUCUGAGUUCAUUCAGAUUGAAGCACCUAAACUCAACACACUAGGAAUAAUUUGGAGGUUACAGCUACAGCUACAUGCUCAACUCCAAAACUAGGAGUGGUUCUCAUGUGAGGCUGGGAUGCUUCCUAAAAGUACACAGCAAUUAGGAGAUCCCUGAGAACUUCAAAGGGAGAAAGGGAUCCACAACUUCAGCUAGCAGAUCUACUUGGUCGAUUGCAAUUACACAUGAAGGAUAUUUCCGUUGCAUAAGGGAUUACGUACAGCUACAAUGAAAAGUAGAAAGCUACCUCCUGACAUCUAUUCCACUGAGCUCUAAGGAAAGCAGAGCAUAUUAUAGUCAGCUAAAUGAACAGUGGGUUGCACUAAAUUGCCAGAGAACAAAGUCACAAAGGAUGGGGAAGGGAAGCAUGUUAGGAAUGACAAGAAACCUUCAUCUGUAAAAUGACCAUAGAAGCAAUUUGUUUCCUCACCCUAACAUCCAUCCACCCAGAUGCAUGGAUAUUUCACCACACCACGAGAAAACAGACAAAAGCUUUGAUGCAGACAUUUCCCCCAAGCCUACCAUUUUCCUUCCUUCUGUUGCUGAAACGAAUCUCCACAAGGCUGGGACAUACCUUUGUCUCCUUGAGAAAUUCUUCCCUGAUGUUAUAAGGGUAUACUGGAAAGAAAAGGAUGGCGAUAAGAUCCUGGAAUCCCAGGAAGGGAAUACACUGAAAACCAAUGAUACAUACAUGAAGUUUAGCUGGCUUACCGUGACUGAAGAGUCAAUGCGUAAAGAGCACAUAUGCAUUGUCAAACAUGAGAACAAUAAAAGAGGAGUUGAUCAAGAGAUUUCCUUUCCUCCAAUAGAGAAAGUUGCCAUGAGUGCUGAGCCUACACCUUGCUGGCACGAAAAUGCCGUGCUGCAGCUUCAGCUCACGAGCACCUCUGCCUACUACACCUACCUUCUCCUCCUCCUCAAGAGUGCGAUCCACCUGGCCGUGGUCAGCUUCUCUCUGGCUAGAAGAACAGCAACCUGUGGCAAUGAGAAGAGGGCCUAAGGAAGUGAACAGUGGCUCAACAAGUCAGCUCCUGUACAUCCUUUAUGUGAAAUCGUGCUUUAUGGGCCCAGCUGGAUUUUCUUGCUAACUUUGACCUGUGUAAAAAUCACAUGCAUAUCAUUCUGUCAUCACUUAAAAGUUUUCAGACUUUCAUAAGCGAUUCGAGCAACUUCUCUCACUAACCCUUCUGAUUCUAUCCUCUUCAGCAGUUCCCUCCCCCAGGAGCCUGGAGCACCCCAGCUCCAGUACACAUAGCUUGCAGCUUCUACCGCAGUCCUUGUUGCCCUUGAGCCAGCUAACUCCCUGAAAGCCUCCACACUAGACACCCUGAAGAGCCUUCUUUACUGCCUGAAUUCUUGUACUUCAUAUUAGAGACAAUAAAUUCUUUGAAAAUCA